ACAUGAAAGCAAGCACCUCUUUUCAAAUUGGACAGUUCCUGUCUUGGGGUGAUUACUUAAUCCAGCUCAUCAGGAUUUACUGCAGCAAACACACAUUGCACUCUGUCCUUCAGGAACAUUUAGGGGCCUUCUACACUCACCUGGAACACUAGAGCACAUAGAGUAUAGGUUUCCUCUUAGGAAAGGCGCACAAUUAUGCACAAAUAUCUGCAGGAAAUUGGGCUAAGAAACAGGCAUUGCUCCAAUCAACCAUACUAUAAGGACCCCCAUGGAAGAAAGAAUCAACUACCAGCUCCUGUCACUGAAUGACACCAGCUUAAGAGGAGAAAGGUAGAGGGGUCUACAUACUAGAGGACCCUAGUCAGCUUUUGGGUCCCAUUGCAGUGACUGCAAUGAGGGAAGACAUCUGCAGUCCUUUACCUACUCAGCAAGAGAGACCAAAGUCCUUCAGGACUGUGCUGCCCCCAGUUCUUCUGCAGAAAUGGUUAAAAAUGAUCUAUUUGGUUGAAUUAAGGAAGUUAAACAUUACUGCAGCAGCUUAAGAAAAACCCUCUUGACUUCCUGGAAACUGAAAAGAAAAAAAAGUGGUGUUUUAAAGAAGUAGGUAAGAUUGUCUCUGACAUCACUUAGCUGUAUAGUGAGAUCGCGAGUGGUUAGUCUUUGGAUGACAGACGAAACUGCUUCCUGACUGAUAAGCAGGCAUUGGAAUAGAGAGACACAUGCUGUUUCAUAAGGAUACUCCGGAUUUCCAGAUAUGACCAUGUUUUUGUGGCUUGAACUCUUGGCAUUUGGCUUUGCCCUUCUGGACAACAAUGUUUUUGUCAAAGGAAAAGGAACAACAGAAACUGUAAAUUCUCCCACGCCCACAAGCACAUCGCCUCUACCUGCACGCUCCAUUCCACACUCUCCUACAGGCAACAACGAAGGGCAAACACAGAACUCUACUGCAACUGGCUUCCUUACUACAGGCAGCACAAACCUCAGCACUCAUGCAGACUCAAACUCUUCCUUUGGAUCCAGCAAUCAGCCACACAGCAGCACUGCUGCCCUUACUUCACUCACUCCUGCUACAACCACAAAUAAACCAUCAGAUGCUUUCAAUCCGCAACACUUGCAUACCACCUCACCAUCCGUGAACCAUACUCCAACCAGCACUCAAGCAAACAUUUUUCAGCCUUUCUCAAACACCACUUUGACUACUUCCACUCUCACAACAGAAACUUCUACAGUGACAACUAAAAUACCUUGUGAAACAAUUAAUAUUAAUGUGACGUAUAACUACAGAGACAAAGUCACUGCAAAGUUGAACAUUUCUGAAAAACACAGCAACUACUCUAUUUUCUACAACUCCACUUCUAAAGUGAAAGAAGACCAAACUAUUGAAGGACUUACGGAAUGUGAGACAUAUGAAAUUAUAAUUGGAUAUAAGGAAUGCCCCAAUAUAUCAUCACAUGUAAUUCAUAUCCCACCUAAUGGAGCUAGCUACAAAUUGCACGACAAUGAACACACCAAUACAUCUGUAAAACUGACAUGGAAUAAAACAUCUAAUUGCAAUUUGGUCUACAAUUUUGCCUGUGAAACUGGGAAAGAUAACCAAAACAUUACAGAAUAUCAGGAAACACUGACAAAUUUAUCACCCAACAAGAAUUACACAUGCACUGGGACUAUAUACUAUUUUGAGAACACAGUUGUGCGGAAAACAAUUAAUAUAUCAACGGAUUAUGGAAAACCAGAGAAACCUGAGACACCUGAACUGAAAAACAGUACUUCCACGAAUAUAUCAUUUAGCUGGAAAGCACCCCAAAACACAUCAAAAGGUCCUAUCCAUGGCUAUCGCGUUAAGUGUCCAUCUGAUAUUGACUACACAUUUGUCAAUGAGACCAUUUUUUACUGCUCUAAUUUAAAGCCUUACAGCAACUAUACAGUGUCAAUAGCGGCAUACACAGUAAGCAAAUAUUCAUCAAAGAGAUUUUAUGGGGACACUGUAAUUGAACAAUGGAAGACAAAAGCAGCAGAACCAGAUGAAGUGACUAUUACCGAAGUAAAAUUGAUUUCCAAUAAUGCUGUCCGCAUUAAGUGUAAGGUGAAGUCUGUAAAUGGUGCAAAUCAAAAAUUCACACUGGUAUGGGAGGGAAAGAAUGAAACUGAAAAAAACACAUGUGAGUUUCAAAAAGAAGAUCUUUAUUAUCUGAAACAAUACACCUUUAAGAUUUUUCUGGACAAUGGAGAAUUUAAACGGGCUUCUGACAAACACCACGUAACAACAAAAUACAAUUCUCAAGCCCUGAUUAUAUUCCUGGCGUUCUUGAUUAUUGUGACAUCAAUUGCCUUACUUAUUGUUCUGUAUAAAAUCUAUGAUCUCCACAGAGAGAAAUUAAGCAAUUCAGGUGAAGAUGUGGUGCUUGUUAAGAGGGAUGACGAAAAACAACUGAUGAACGUAGAGCCAAUUCCUGCAGAAAUGUUGUUGGAAACCUACAAGAGAAAGAUUGCUGAUGAAGGAAGACUUUUCCUUGAUGAAUUUCAGAGCAUUCCCAGAGUUUUCUCUAAGUUCUCAAUAAAGGAAGCACGCAAAAACUACAACCAAAACAAAAACCGUUACAUUGACAUUCUCCCUUAUGAUUAUAACCGAGUUGAACUCUCAGAGAUAAACGGAGACCUAGGAUCAGACUAUAUAAAUGCAAGCCAUAUUGACGGUUUCAAAGAACCAAGGAAGUACAUUGCUGCACAAGGUCCCAAGGAUGAGACCACUGAUGAUUUCUGGAGAAUGAUCUGGGAACAGAAGGCAACAAUUAUUGUUAUGGUGACUCGCUGUGAAGAAAAUAAUAGGAACAAAUGUGCCCAAUACUGGCCGACCACAGAAAAUAGCACUGCAACUUUUGGGGACAUUGUUGUGAAGAGCAAUGAAAGUAAAAUAUGUCCUGACUACAUUAUUCAGAAACUGCAUAUUACAAAUAGAAAGGAGAAGACACCUGGGAGAGAUGUGACUCACAUUCAGUUCACUAGCUGGCCAGACCAUGGAGUGCCUGAAGAUCCUCAUCUUCUCCUCAAAUUACGCCGCAGAGUUAAUGCUUUAAGCAACUUUUUUAGUGGCCCAGUAGUGAUUCAUUGCAGUGCUGGUGUGGGACGUACUGGAACCUAUAUUGCAAUCGACGCUAUGCUGGAGGGGUUAGAGGUAGAAGGCAGAGUGGAUGUUUAUGGUUAUGUUGUAAAGCUCCGUCGACAACGAUGCCUCAUGGUUCAAGUAGAGUCACAGUACAUCCUGAUCCAUCAAGCACUGGUGGAAUACAAUCAGUUUGGUGAAACAGAGGUCACUCUCUCUGAACUGCACACCUAUCUUAAUAAUCUGAAGAAAAGAGAUCCUCCCAGUGACCCCUCUCUGCUGGAAGCAGAAUUCCAGAGGCUACCAUCGUACAGGGGAUGGCGGUCACAGAACACUGGCAAUCGACAGGAAAAUAAAAGUAAAAAUCGGAAUUCCAAAAUGAUUCCAUAUGACUUUAACAGAGUACCAAUUAAACAUGAGGAGGAGAAAAGCCAAGAGAGUGAACAUGAUUCAGAGGAAUCAUCUGAUGAGGAUAGUGAUUGUGAGGAAGCAAGCAGAUACAUAAAUGCAUCAUUCAUAACUGGCUACUGGGGUCCAAAAGAAAUGAUUGCAACACAAGGGCCACUACCAGAAACAAUCAAUGACUUCUGGCAAAUGAUCUUUCAAAGAAAAGUCAAAGUAAUUGUUAUGUUGACAGAGCUGAAAGACGGAGAUCAGCAACUCUGUGCACAAUAUUGGGAAGAAGGAAAACAAAGAUACGAAGGCAUAGAAGUUGAAAUGAAAGAUGUCAACCUGUCUUCUAGCUACACCAUACGUGCAUUUGAUGUAACACAUGUGAAGAGGAAAGAAACUCGAAAUGUGUAUAUGUACCAGUACCACAGGUGGAAUGGCUUAGACCUUCCUGAAAACCCCAAAGACUUAGUCACCAUGAUUCUGAACCUCAAACAAAAACUUGCAGCUAAAAGUGUCACUGAGGACAGCAGAUACAGCCGGAGCAUUCCAAUUGUCAUUCACUGCCGUAAUGGAUCUGAACAAACUGGUGUGUUUUGCGCCUUGUUGACUCUCUUGGAAAGUGCAGAAACAGAAGAUGUGAUAGAUGUCUUCCAAGUAGUGAAAUCUCUUCGACGUGCGAGGCCGGGAAUGGUCCCCACUUUUGUAAGUAAAUCCUAUGAGUUAACCAAACAAUGCAAUAGAUUUGCUUAUCUUUAGUCAUGAAUGUUCUAAUAACCACUGGCAUUGUUUCUGCAUAGGAAACAUGUAUUAUCAUUAUCUUAUCCCUAAUUAUUCAUCAGCAGUUGUGAAUUAGCUAUUGGUGAUAAGAAGGAACUAGUCUGCAACCUAUCCACAGCUAUAAUAAUAAGUUUCUUGAGGCUGAAAAGGUCAACAGUACAUGGUAUUUGUAAACCAUUAAUUUUUUAGGCUGGAACUUGGCAGCUGCCGAAGGGAUUUAGGAGCACAUCUGCCACUGAAUUCCAUGGGAGUUGGAUGCCUAACUCCCUUAGGCAGGUUAGAAAAUGCUCUCCUUAUUUUCUGAAGGAGCUGCUUUCCUACUUGCAUGCAAUAUGCAUUCUUCUCUCUGACAAUCCAUCUAAAUCAUCUAGAUUUGCUAACUCUGCUGUGGUUUAUUAGAGAACUGAACAGUAGUCACUACUGUACACUUAAUCCACCUGCUUGAUUCUCUUUUAAACACACUUUUGAUAGUUUGCCAUGUGAAUCAAGAGGGAUGGAUUUUGCAACAUUGUCUUGGGAAUGGGGUGAUUUUAAGUAGUGACAUAGUACCUGAUCUACAAGGAAUUAGGGAUGCCCUCAGUGCUGUCCUGUGGACCAGCAGCCAUGGAGACCACCUUACGCUGAAUGUUUCAAUAAGAUGGAAAGAUUCACAUUGUCAACACUUAAGACAAAAAAAAAAAAAUCAGCCAUCCUGGCUCAGUCACAUGGCAUUUCAUCCACACUAAUCCCUUCUUUUUUGUAUUAGGAACAAUACCAGUUCCUUUAUGAUACUAUUAGCAGCAUCUACCCUGCACAGAAUGGACAAGUAAAGAAAAACAGCAAGCAGGAAGAUACAGUUGAAAUUGACAAUGAAGUAGGAAAAACAGAUCAGGAAGUUAAUUUGAUUACUAUUGAUAUCACCUCACUGGAGUCAGAAGCCAAUAUGAAUAUGGAAGAGCGUGAAGAUUCCAAAUCUGCAGAUGGCACUCAGGGAACAGAAAGUUCUUCAAAUGGACCCAAGACUCCAGUUUUAACUGAGAGUGCAUAGAAAAAUAUAUGAAAAUUGGCUGUACAAAGGUAUCUCAAACAGAAUAAGUAGUCAAAAUUUGAUCUUGAGUUAAUUUUUCAGAGGUACGGUAUGAAAAGAAUACUUGAAAUUUGUGGAUAAUGUAAUGCACUGUGAAAAUUUAAUUUUUGUGUAGAUUUGCAUUUUAUUCCUUUCACAUUAUUUGAAUUAUUUUUGAUCUUUUUACAAAUCUGUAUAUUGUAAUGCUGAUUUUCAUUAUGGUCUGGUAUUCCGGAGUAGAAAGAAAAGUCAUGCUACCUUUUUUCAAUCUUAUUUUUUGUUAUUGGAAAGUAAGUAGCCAGGACCAGAAUCUCUAAUAAUGUACAGUCAUAAAUAUAAAGUUAGAAGUAUGGCAAAUAUGAGUUUUCUUGUAACUAAUUAUUGUGUUACUAUCUUUAAUUGACUUAGAGGGUAAGGAAUAUGCAAUAUUUCAGAAAUGCAAUUUCUAUUGACUUUAGUUAGGGUUGUACUUGCUUUGCACAUGCUUUGCAGAACAGUAAAGCCAUAUCUGGGCCAUAUCUUACAGCUCCAUUGAAGUCUAUGGGGAUUUACACCAACUAAGUAACUGGUUCCACACAUCCUUACCUAUCUAGGACUGUAAGCUUUGCAUUUUUCUAACUGGCCUCAAGAUGUCCUCCUUGCUCCACAUAAAUCCAUCUGAAGCUUCAAUAUUUGAGACUGAAGAAGAAAGUCCAGAACUUGGAGUAUGACUGAUUGGAGAAACUCUGAUUGUUAAUUGAAUUGACAUUUGGCAACUUGAGAUCCCAUGUGUUACCACAACUGCUUCUUGUGCUAUUUUUUUCUAAUUUAAAGAGAACGCUUCUGCAAAAGUGUCGUACCUAUUAUGUAUAUCCAACAUUCCAAAAUACUGUGCUACUAAUAGUACAUGCUAUUAGCACAUUGUUGAUUUUAUUUAGUAGUUUCAUCAUAUGCUGAUGAUUUGUAUGUUACAGUUUGGAUUAUUUUACUAUUGCCUUAGUGGAUUUCAGCCUAAUAUUUUAAAGCCAAAUAAAAAGGACAAUUAAUAAAUUG